UUUUGAUUACAAUAAUUAAUAAAUCGCUAAAUCUGUACAACCAAGAUAUGCUGCUAAUUUUGUGUCUAUCGGUUUAAUGUGUUUAUCAUAAAUAUUUUAAGAUUAACAUUCAGAAAUAGCACUGCAACAAGCGGAGAAGAUUACUCAGAUGAUGAGAAAUUUGUUGGAAUACUAAGUUUUAUUCAAACAACACAUUGCGUUGAUAUUUUGAUAAUUGAUGAUAACAGUUAUGAAGGCAACGAAAAUUUUACAGUUGUUUUGACGUUAAAUAACAAUCCCAACGUUCAAAUUAUACUGUUGGGGAAGCGACAGUGACUAUCACAGAUGAUGACGAUUUCGACGAGUGUAGUGCAGGUUCCCAUAAUUGCCAUCAGAACGCCUACUGUAACAAUACUGAUGGUUCUUUCAAUUGUACAUGCAAAAAUGGCUACUCGGGGAAUGGAACGGACUACCAAGAUGACGAUGAAUGUAAUUCGGGGUCUCACAAUUACCAUGAAAAUGCCAACUGUAAAAAUACUGAUGGCUCUUUCAAUUGUUCAUGC